rnacentral:rRNA from 1 species
CCUACGGGCGGCAGCAGUGGGGAAUAUUGGGCAAUGGGCGCAAGCCUGACCCAGCAACGCCGCGUGAAGGAAGAAGGCUCUCGGGUUGUAAACUUCUUUUAUCAGGGACGAAGCAAGUGACGGUACCUGAUGAAUAAGCCACGGCUAACUACGUGCCAGCAGCCGCGGUAAUACGUAGGUGGCAAGCGUUAUCCGGAUUUACUGGGUGUAAAGGGCGUGUAGGCGGGAAAGCAAGUCAGAUGUGAAAACCAUGGGCUCAAACUGUGGCCUGCAUUUGAAACUGUUUUUCUUGAGUACUGGAGAGGCAGACGGAAUACCGAGUGGAGCGGUGAAAUGCGUAGAUAUUAGGAGGAACACCAGGGGCGAAGGCGGUCUGCUGGACAGCAACUGAAGCUGAAGCGCGAAAGCGUGGGGAGCAAACAGGAUUAGAUACCCCUGUAGUC